AUUGAACGCUGGCGGCAGGCCUAACACAUGCAAGUCGAGCGAGCGGCGGACACGUGAGUAAUGUAUGGGGGCUGCCAGAUAGGGGGGGGUAACUCCAGGCAAAGGUAUCUAUUACCGCAUACUAUAGGAGAACCCAUAUGGGAUUAGCUAGUAGGUGAGGGAAUGGCUCUCCAAGGGGACGAUCCCUAGCUGGUCUGAGAGGAUGAGCAGCCACACUGGGACUGAGACACGGCCCAGACUCCUACGGAGGCAGCAGUGGGGAAUAUUGCACAAUGGGCGCAAGCCUGAUGCAGCCAUGCCGCGUGUAUGAAGAAGGCCCUAGGGUUGUAAAGUACUUUCAGUCGGGAGGCGUUACCGACAGAAGAAGCACUGGCUAACUCCGUGCCAGCAGCCGCGGUAAUAC
rnacentral:rRNA from 1 species